rnacentral:rRNA from 1 species
AGUGAACGCUGGCGGUAGGCCUAACACAUGCAAGUCGAACGGCAGCACAGUAAGAGCUUGCUCUUACGGGUGGCGAGUGGCGGACGGGUGAGGAAUACAUCGGAAUCUACUUUUUCGUGGGGGAUAAUGUAGGGAAACUUACGCUAAUACCGCAUACGACCUACGGGUGAAAGCAGGGGAUCUUCGGACCUUGCGCGAUUGAAUGAGCCGAUGUCGGAUUAGCUAGUUGGCGGGGUAAAGGCCCACCAAGGCGACGAUCCGUAGCUGGUCUGAGAGGAUGAUCAGCCACACUGGAACUGAGACACGGUCCAGACUCCUACGGGAGGCGGCAGUGGGGAAUAUUGGACAAUGGGCGCAAGCCUGGUCCAGCCAUACCGCGUGGGUGAAGAAGGCCUUCGGGUUGUAAAGCCCUUUUGUUGGGAAAGAAAAGCAGCAGGUUAAUACCCCGCUGUUCUGACGGUACCCAAAGAAUAAGCACCGGCUAACUUCGUG